GUAUAGGUCAGUUUUUGAAAAAUCUGUCACCUCACAUUACCAAGAUCAUUCCACUGAUCUGGCUGGCUAGAUGACUGUCCCCCUUUUCCCUUGACACUCUAUAUACAACCUUCUCCAAUAUGUAGUCUGACUAAAAGGCUAAACUUUGCCCAAAGAAGAAGCCCUUUCUUGGGUCAAGGGUAUAUAUGAGUAGCUGCACUCCCAUGCUACUAGACCAUCCAAACAAGCCCUCAAGGUCCACUUGAGAACAAAGGGUGGUCAAGCAUCCAGUCCUCUGAACACAUCCAAAGGAGACCCUGUGUGAGGAAGUCUGUCUUU
rnacentral:snRNA from 1 species